rnacentral:rRNA from 1 species
UACGUAGGGCGCAAGCGUUGUCCGGAAUUAUUGGGCGUAAAGAGCUCGUAGGCGGUUUGUCGCGUCUGGUGUGAAAACUCGAGGCUCAACCUCGAGCUUGCAUCGGGUACGGGCAGACUAGAGUGCGGUAGGGGAGACUGGAAUUCCUGGUGUAGCGGUGAAAUGCGCAGAUAUCAGGAGGAACACCGGUGGCGAAGGCGGAUCUCUGGGCCUUACCUGACGCUCAGGUGCGAAAGCUAGGGGAGCGAACAGG